GAUAAACGCUGGCGGCGUGCCUAAUACAUGCAAGUCGUGCGGUAAGGCCCCUUCGGGGGUACACGAGCGGCGGACGGCAGAGUAACGCGUAGGAACGUACCCCAAAGUGAGGGAUAACUGCUCGAAAGAGUAGCUAAUACCGCAUAUGAUCUUCGGAUUAAAGCAGCAAUGCGCUUUGGGAACGGCCUGUGUCCGAUUAGCUAGUUGGUGAGGUAAAGGCUCACCAAGGCGAUGAUCGGUAACUGGUCUGAGAGGACGACCAGUCACACUGGGACUGAGACACGGCCCAGACUCCUACGGGAGGCAGCAGUGGGGAAUAUUGGACAAUGGGGGCAACCCUGAUCCAGCGAUGCCGCGUGGGUGAAGAAGGCCUUCGGGUUGUAAAGCCCUUUAGGCCGGGACAAAGUGCAGCAGUUUAAGAGAUGGUUGCAUUGAUGGUACCGGCAGAAUAAGCACCGGCAAACCCUGUGCCAGCCGCCGCAGUAA
rnacentral:rRNA from 1 species